rnacentral:rRNA from 1 species
GACGAACGCUGGCGGCGUGCUUAACACAUGCAAGUCGAACGGAAAGGCCCUGCUUUUGUGGGGUGCUCGAGUGGCGAACGGGUGAGUAACACGUGAGUAACCUGCCCUUGACUUUGGGAUAACUUCAGGAAACUGGGGCUAAUACCGGAUAGGAGCUCCUGCUGCAUGGUGGGGGUUGGUAAGUUUCGGCGGUUGGGGAUGUACUCGCGGCUUCUCAGCUUGUUUGUGGGGUAGUUGCUUACCAAGGGUUUGACGGGUAGCCGGCCUGAGAGGGGGAACGGGCAACAUGGGACUGAGGAACGGACCAGAAGGCAACGGGGGGCAAGAGGGGGGAAAAUUGCAAAAUGGGGCGGAGGCAGAUGGAAGAACGCCGGGAGGGGGAAGAACGGCUUUGGGGUGGAAAACAGUUUGGGCGUGAAAGGAGCGGGAGUGACGGUAAAUGGUAAAAAAGGAACGGCUAACUACGGG